UACAAUCGCCGCGCCACUGGUGCCUUGGGUCAGUUCCUGACCCGGGUGAAACGGGAAAGCGGUGCGUCCAUCCGGACCAGGCCGCUGCUGCCCCCGCAACGGUAGGCAGGUGCGGGCAUGCCACAAGGCCACUGGAAGCGGUUUUUCCGGGAAGGCGGCAUGCCAAGACCUGCAAGCCCGGAGACCGGCCACUGGCAAUGCGGAACG
rnacentral:ncRNA from 1 species